ensembl:lncRNA
UCAGGUAACUCUACUACAGAGAACCAAGUGAUUAAAUACAUUUUUUGCAGAGACGCCUUGGACGAACUGGAGUCUGACAUGGAAGAAAUGGAAAAUAACAAUAUAAGCAAUGCAUCAUAUCAUCAAAUCAGAACACGAUAAACGUAAGGCCUGAGAAAGAUUACAGCAUGUCUAAGUUAGGAUUCUUUAUUAAUCAAGGUACAUUUUCUUUUCACAGGAUGUUGACUGUCAAAGUAUCCCAAAUACAAACUUUUCAUGGGCUGUAAAGAUUCCCAAGGAAGCAGUGUAUAAAUCACGACGGGAAAACAAUGGAUGUGCGUUUGUUGCAGUUCUACGGUUCAUAAAUAUGAGAAACAAGAAUCAAACUGCAAACCGGACUGUUUUGAACAAUGAGGUUUAUGGAAUAGCGAUGAAGGCCAAUAUCUCCAACCUUACUGAUAAUAUUGAAAUGUUCAUUACACAGAAAGAUCUGGUCAGUAAGCCAUCCUGCUAUUCUUGGGAUGGAAACGGAGAGCUUAAUUGGACGACGUUCGGCUGUGAGACAGAAACAAUCGAACAAUCGAACACCAUAAAGUGCUCCUGCUCACAUCUGACGUUCUUUGCAGUGCUGAUGAUCCCUCCAUCAGAUGCAAAUAAAACAGCACUGCAUCUGAAAGCAUUGACUUUUAUCACUUCUAUCGGCUGCGGCAUCUCCAUGUUUUUUAUGACUGUAGUUUUAUUCAUGGAUUUCCUGCUGCGGUAGAGUAUCGUCAUAUUUGUGUCCCUGCAGCACAGAAGCAGUCAUCAGUAGCACAGGUAUAUUUGUAGCAACAGACAACAAUACAUUGUAUGGGUCAACAUUAUAGAUUUUUCUUUCAUGCCAAAAAUCAUUAGGAUAUUAAGAUCAUGUUCCAUGAAAAUCUUUUGUAAAUCUCCUACCGUAAAUAUAUCAAAACUUUUUUUAUUAGUAAUAUGCAUUGCUAAGAACUUCAUUUGGACAACUUUAAAGAUGAUUUUCUCAAUAUUUAGAUUUUUUUGCACCCUCAGAUUCCAGAUUUUCAAAUAGUUGUAUCUCAGACAAAUAUUGCCCUCUUAACUGUAACGUGUCAAUGCAAGGAAGAGUAGAGGCAGAAUCCAAAUGCAAUCAGUGGAACAUUUAAUAAAACAAAAGGUAAUUCAAAUCUAGAAACA